CAAUAGCGUAUAUUAAAGUUGUUGCAGUUAAAAAGCUCGUAGUUGGAUUUCUGGUUGAAGCGACCGGUCGGGCGUUGAUUCGUCUGCACUGGAGUCGGUUUUGGCCAUCCUCUAGGAAAGUGCGUCUGGUAUUAAGUUAUCGGGCGUAUGAUCCUGGUCUUUUACUGUGAAAAAAUUAGAGUGUUUAAAGCAGGCCUUCGCCUUGAAUACAUUAGCAUGGAAUAAUAAGAUAGGACUUUGGUCUAUUUUGUUGGUUUGCAGACCGAAGUAAUGAUUAAUAGGGAUAGUUGGGGGUAUUUAUAUUCCGAUGUCAGAGGUGAAAUUCUUAGAUCUUCGGAAGAUAAACUUAUGCGAAAGCAUUUACCAAGGAUGUUUUCAUUAA
rnacentral:rRNA from 1 species